rnacentral:misc_RNA from 1 species
GAUGAAGAACGUAGCGAAAUGCGAUAAGUAAUGUGAAUUGCAGAAUUCAGUGAAUCAUCGAAUCUUUGAACGCACCUUGCACUCCUUGGUAUUCCGAGGAGUACGCCUGUUCGAGUGUUAUGAAGCUCUCAAAACGCAAUUGGCUUAAAACCUGAUUGUUGUUUUGGAUUUGAACUUUGCCGUGUUAUAACGGCUGGUUUUAAAAGUAUUAGCUGGUACUAGAACGAAUUGGUUCUACUCAACGUGAUAAUUAUCUGAUCGUUGAGGACAUUCCUUUCACGAGAAUGGCCAUAGUAAAUUCAAUGGACUGCUUCUAAUCUGGCUUUAAUUCUUUAUUGGAUUAACCACUUUUCAAAUCUGACCUCGAAUCAGGUGGGACUACCCGCUGAACUUAAGCAUAUCAAUAAGCGGAGGA